UGUUGAUCAAUUUAAUAUAGGAUGUGUUUACAAGAACUUAUAAAAAGUUUUUUUGUUAUAGUAAAAUGACUUCAUUCAUAUUGUGGGAAAAAAAAGAAGUGAAACUGAGUUUUCCCGAAGGCAGAGCUACUCAGAACACAGAUUGUAUCCACCCAUGUGAGGAAGCAAACACACUCAAAAAUUCUCCAGCUCCCUGCCCAACCUCUGUGACCCUGAGUCUGGCACAAGCACAGCUUCUAGCAACAGUGUCAAUUCCUAUUCAACAUCUUUCAGUUUAUGCAAUGACACAGCUAAUUUCUGUUGUCAACUUGACAUCCUUGAAAAGAUGGAACCUCAGUUAAAGAACUGGUUCCAUUGGACCAGCCUCUGGGAAUAUCUGUGGGACAUUUUCUUGAUUGCUAAUUGACAUGGAAGGACUCAGGCCACUGUGUGCAGUGCCUUUCCUGGGCAGGUGACGGUGUUCAUUCUGCAAGCAAGGGUUUCGUCUUAAAUGGAAAUUCAAAGUGACUCACUAACCAGAGACAGGAAGCAAAGGUGGUAAAGGAAAGACAUCCUCGGUGAGUUGCAGUGAACACAGAACUCUAUAAAUGACAGCUUCAACAAAACUCUGACUGGAGUUUUAGUGCCAGUCAACCAAGAACAAUUUGAAUAAAUGGAAACAGAAGUGACAACUUGUGAAAAAGGAUGCUGAAAUAUUGGUAGGGAGGGAGGGAGGAGACAAAAAACUUAGAUUUGAAUCUGCAGUAUCUAGGGACGCCACUCAGUCGGACGCACAUAUCGUUCGGGUACAUACAUCAGAGGCACCACUACACCGUACCUUCAAUGACUCCUCUACAUUCACUCCCACUGCUUUUUCUGGAAACUGAAUGUAGUGGCUACCGGUCAACCCCCCAGAAAAGAAUCUACUCGGUGUCCACUUCUUCAUUAUGAGUCGUGAGCCUUCGUAAUUCACCACUAGUUUCUGUUACACGUGUUUGUGCCCCUGAUUGACAGAGCCUGGGUUCAGGGAGAGACAGAAAUGAAUACCUGAUGUUUCUAGCUGCUCUGGUGAUAAGCAAACAAUGAGUCAUCAAGUGAGGAAAACGAAACACAGAAAAUAAGUCGCAUGGUAGUUAGUUCAAAGAAAAUGCCUUGGGUAGCAAAGAAGAGCUGGGGGUGAUUUGUGACCCAUGAGGCUGAGGUUCUCAGGGGCCCAGGUACCACAUGUGGGCUGUCCCAGCCUUCUGCCCACCUCUGGUUAUCUAGAAGCAGCUACAGAAAUGGAGGCUCCAGGACAAUGUACCCCCAUUUAGUGUAGUCCAGAUAAGCCAGGAAGACCAUGACUGGAAGGAACGCACCACCUCUUAGGACUCCUCUUCUCCAGAUUUACAGACUGCUCAGUCACAGGGGCACAACGUUAUAAUUGUCAUCUUGGGUAAUGCAGGUAACACUGCCCUUCUGUGUCAAGUUUCCACCAGUGUGCUUGUACACACUUCCACUACACCAGGAAGGAAUGCAGAAGAGGUGCUAAUCAUACCACAUGCUUCCCAACAUGGGAGGAUCAGAGGCUAAGAAUUUCCUCUUUCUCACUGGAAUACUUCCUGCACAAACACAGAGUUUGCAAUUGUUGCAGACAGGGGUUUCUGUAAUAGAGAAAAACAAUACAGAAAUUUGAGCCCACAGGGACCUAAGGAAAAUUGGACUGCUAACUCACACAAAUAAAUAAGAUGUUAAAGAAUGCAUGAGAGCAGCAGAAACAUCCAGUUUUUGGAAAUAACUUCUACUGAAGAUCUCCAGAGGCAUAGACAAGUAUGCUGUGCUCUUACUAGCAAGAGUGAUGCCAAGGACUGGCAUGGAUGGUGUCGUCACUGAAGAGAAGGUGACCUCAACUGACCUUUUCUCACAGACUUUGUACCAAGGAAGUGCCAAACAUUAGUAGUUCAGUUUUCUUUUUGUAAAAACUAAAAUCAUGUUCUAUAAGAAGGAAAAGGUAAGAUAAUUUAUUUGAAACAAGGUGAAAUCUCAUUAUACAAUUUGCUUUCUCAUUGGUCCCUCCCAGAGUACAUUAAAGUUGUGGUUGGCAUUUUUACCCCUAAGGAGUCCUCUCAAGACAUUUCAUAGUCUGUGUAAAGUAGAAAGAGACAGGAGACAUUGGGAAUUUUGGUGCUUGGCUGUCUGUGCGUCCCUUCACACCUCAAGUUGAAUGUUCUGUCCAUGCUCCUUCAAGUUAAAAUACAAAUCAGCAGAUACUGUUUCCAAUACUGAAAGAUGCACUGCUAUGAAAGUUAGUUUGCUUAAAGUUAUUCAUGUAUUAUGUAUCUACCUCAAGUUCAUGCUAACAGCUUCCAUUCUUAAGAAAAGCAAAGAACACGAAAAUUAGUAACAACUUUAUUUAUCGUCCUACUGUCAUUGUGGAUACGCACUGGCAUUAAGUGUCAUUGUGACUCUGUGUCCUCUGUGUUGUACUAGCCAGCUAACUCCUUCCACAAUUACUGAGCUGCUCUUGGGAAAUGGUGUGAGACUGUAUGUAUUUCUACUGCACAGUAACACAUGGAAACACAUAAUGCGUUGUGGAAUAUCAGUCAGAUGUAUUGGCUUCAGAUCACCAUUGGAAGAAUCGCAGCAGGAGUAUCAGCUAUUGUUUUUGUUAGUCCUUACUCCAUUGAAAUCACAGAAUAAAUUUUUAAUUAGUCAAUCACAAGAAAGUAGUGAGGAAAAUGACUUGCUCACAUAGGGGCCCACACAAGAGGCAAGGGAAUCCCACGCCAUCUAGAUACAGAUCCCAGUGCCUCACUCUUCUUCCACACUUUGGCCUCACUUCAGGCUGCUCACUUUAGAGGUGUGCAACAGAGACUAGAAGUUGGGGUGUGCUUUCAUAUCUAAAAGUCAGGACCACAUGCUUCCUCUUCUUCAUUUCUCAUCCUUCUCUAUUUCUUUUCCUCAAUUGUCAUAAAAUUAACAACGCUAAAAUGUGAGGUUUUUCAGUAUAGGGAUUACGUUAAAGUUCUCCAGAAACUUGUGUUAGUCUGUUACUAAUAAAGCUGAAAGGGUUGUUUUGCCUCACAGUUUUGAAGAUAGGCUCUGUGACUGGGUUUUCUUGCUGAUUCUGCCUGGGCGUGACAGCAAAUGGGGAAGAAGUGCAAAGAGGGACACAGCCACUCACUUC